rnacentral:lncRNA from 1 species
CAGCAGGUGCAUCAUAUGAUAAGCAAAGCCUGCUGAAAUUCUCUGUUCUACUCAACAAUUAAAGGUACAGGAGCUGGACAUAUACGGUAAUGCAGUGGUUCUCAACCUGUGGGUCCCCAGAUAUUUUGGCCCCCAAUUCCCAGAAAUCCUAACAGAUGGUAAACUGGCUGGGAUUUCUGGGGGUUAUAGGCCAAAACACCUGGGGAACCACAGAUUGAGAACUGCUGCUGUAAUGAAUCAUUCAUGAGAUUACAUUAUGAAUCACCCACUUUGCAACUCAGGCAAGAAAAUAUAAUCUCAUGACGGACUUAUUACAUGUUCAACUAGAACUUCCAGAUAAAAUACAGAGCAGGGCUCCUCUAUCUUAAUGUGUCACUCAGCACACUAGCAUGGUGACAAUAGAGUAAAGUCUAUGACUUCUACAUUCCAAAUGUAAUGGCAACAUGCUAGAUGAAAUUUAAAGCAGAGGCAGGCAAAGUGCAGACUGCAUGUGGCCCAACAGAUUCCCCAAGUGCACUUCCCAAAACCUCUGAGGGAAAUAUCCUCCACAAAAGUUGAGACACUUUUAUUAUUUGAAAUAGUCAGCAUAGCUGUGGCAACCAAGUCACUCUCAUAACUUCCCAUCCAUUUUUUGGCCCUGCAGAAUGUCUUUGUUCUUGUUUUCUAGCAGUCCGUCUCAAACUUCCCAUCCCUUUUUUGGCCCUGCAGAAUGUCUUUGUUCUUGUUUUCUAGCAGUCCGUCUCAAACGUUCCCAUCACUCCUUCCAUCUCCUCUUAUUUGAAUCUCUGUCCUAAAUGCUUUUUGCUCAGCCUCCUUCAACAGAAAUCUCAUCGUUCACCUCCAAACAAUCUCAUCUCUUGUUCCAUCACUUUUCUAUUUUAAAUUCUCUUUGCUCAGCCCCCUUCAACAGUUCCCUGCUUUAAAUCGUAUAGUAGAAAUGUGGACCAUUGUCUCAAAAUGCUCCCACCCCCAUUCUCAGCAUUUUUUGCUUGAAUUCCUGCUCAAAAUCCUCUUUGCCUAACCACUUAAAACAAAUGUUGUUGCUCUG